rnacentral:rRNA from 1 species
UACGUAGGAGGCAAGCGUUGUUCGGAUUUACUGGGUGUAAAGCGUGCUCAGGCGGUUGUGUAAGUCAGAAGUGAAAUCCUAUGGCUUAACUCUAGAACUGCUUUUGAUACUGCGCAGCUUGAAUGUGGGAGAGGAAGAUAGAAUUUCUGGUGUAGCAGUGAAAUGCGUAGAUAUCAGAAAGAACACCAGUGGCGAAGGCGGCCCCCUGGUCCAUUACUGACGUUGAGGCGCGAAAGCGUGGGGAGCAAACAGG